UAGGGAAUCUUCGGCAAUGGACGAAAGUCUGACCGAGCAACGCCGCGUGAGUGAAGAAGGUUUUCGGAUCGUAAAACUCUGUUGUUAGAGAAGAACAAGGACGUUAGUAACUGAACGUCCCCUGACGGUAUCUAACCAGAAAGCCACGGCUAACUACGUUCCAGCAGCCGCGGUAAUACGUAGGUGGCAAGCGUUGUCCGGAUUUAUUGGGCGUAAAGCGAGCGCAGGCGGUUUCUUAAGUCUGAUGUGAAAGCCCCCGGCUCAACCGGGGAGGGUCAUUGGAAACUGGGAGACUUGAGUGCAGAAGAGGAGAGUGGAAUUCCAUGUGUAGCGGUGAAAUGCGUAGAUGUAUGGAGGAACACCAGUGGCGAAGGCGGCUCUCUGGUCUGUAACUGACGCUGAGGCUCGAAAGCGUGGGGAGCAAACAGG
rnacentral:rRNA from 1 species